CCACCCCCUCCCAGAUGUCAUUUAAGGGUUGGCAGUGGAGACAAUAGCUGUGCAUACCUGAGGUCUUCUGAGGAAGGACUCACUACUUCUUGCAGCAGCACAUCUUAGGAAAAAAGAAGAUAGCAUCUCAUUGAAAUGAGAACCUGAAUAGCACUCACAGUGAUGGAGGACAGUCUUCUAAAUUGCAGAACGAUUAAAUCCAGCUCUGAUGGUUGAUUUCUUGACCUCAGAGACAGCUAAUCCUCAGAUACAGAAAAUGGAGGCUUUUCCUUUUUUGACCGGAAGAAGGCUUUUUGGCUCUAGAGUCUGCCCAUCAGCAACAAAGGAGGAAGAAAAAUUCUCAGUGCUUUGGGAAUCUCUCAGCAUUACUCAUCCUCACGAGUGGGCCAAAAUUUAUGCAAGGAGCAACGAAGUUCUCAGAUGUGUUCUCCAGGAGCUUCAGACAGAUGCUGAAUCACUGCACAAAGGGAAAUGAACUUCAGAAGUGAGAUUCUUCCUCCUUCCAGGCUUGUCCAUCACUAUUCAAAUGGAAUUUUGCUCCUAUUUCUUAAAUAUCUUCUCAUAUGCCAUUACAUUUCAGCAGUGUAUUGAUUUAAUCACUGAUCAGGAAACUGAAACUGUAAUAACAACAUGAUGUACAGAGAAAUUCCAUAAUUAUUCUGUUUGAAUCUCCUGGACAAGAGAAGACUAAGAGGGGGUCUUGUAAAUGCUUAUAGCUAUUUAAAGGAUAGAAGUCAAGUGAACAGGACCAGGCUCUUUUCAGCAGUGGCCAGUGACAGGACAAGGGGCAAUGGGCACAAACUGCAACAGAGGAAGUUUCAUACAAAUGUGAGAAAGAACUUUUUUACUUGAGGUUUACAGAGCACUGGAACAGGCUGCCAAGAGCAGUUGUGGAUUCUCCUUCUCUGGAGAUACUCAAAACCCACCUGGAUGCUCUCCUGUGCAACCUACUGUAGGGAACCUGCUUUAGCAGGGGGUUGGACUUGAAGAUAUCCAGACAUUCCUUCCAGACCCUAAGAUUCUCUGAUUCUGUGAAUUGUUAGCAAAUAUUUGAGGUAAUGGCUGUAGUUCAGAUCAUCAGGAUAUAACGCUGAUGUGACAGAUGUGGAAUGUGAAAAUGAGAUUCAGACUCAGUGAUUGGUAAAAAUUCUAACAGAGCCUCCAAAAUAACUAAGACUCACUGAUUCCCUGCCUAUCUAAGAGUAGCCUGUCCUUCUGCAUUUCCAUGUCAGUUACUUUGGAAGACUUUGAGACUUCUUUUAUGGUGUUUUGUAGUUUGUUUUUGCACUCUGUCAUUGUUAAAAUGAUUUCUAAAUCAUAUCCAUGUCAAUUUUAAUUCUAGAUGUCCGUGUUCCCAUAAUUACCUGUUCGGAUGUUGUGUUUGUGCAUUUGCAAAGGGUGGAUUUCUGCUGAAGUCCACUCCAAGGGGGAUGUGCACUUAGGCUGAUGAAAGUCACCCCACAAAGAUAAGGCAAUUCAUCUCUUGUUUACCCAUGUAGCACGCAGGUACAGAGCAAGAGUACUCAAAGAUAUAACCAGUGUUCUGUGAUCCUGUAGCAGAAGUGAUUUUGAUACAUGAAACUGUGGUUAGACUACAAACAUUGAGUAAAAGAAAGGCAGUUAUUGCCUGAAAUCAUGCACAGUUUAUGCUGCCUGGUAUUCUAAGAGCUUUAUGAUAUGUUUUCAGGUACUUGAGACUGGACUUGGACAGCUGAGGGAAAAGCAUAGAAAGGAAUACACAAGUAUUGUCCCUUUUCAAAACAGGUAGAGAGCUAUGAAAUGGGAUGUGGUGAUGAAGGCCUCUUGAAUAGUGCUAAAUAACUUGAAAUACAUGCUCUCUUUUGAUGUGGGAGGGUUAGGGGACACUUAGCAUGGAAUGGAAGUGGAGGCACAUCUGGGAAGAGACUAAUAACUGCAGUUUUUUAAUUGCUGUAACUCUGCCUGAUAAGGGUACUUCCAAGCACAGAUACCAUUUGACUAUCAUCAUUGUCAUCUGCUGAUACAGUCUCUUACUCUACAGCAGCUAAAAACAAAGCCACACAUGUUGUAAAAAACAAUUCUUGUGUGCAUGCCCAGUUUUGACCCUAGAGUAUUUAAGACCAUACAUGUGUCAAGGUUUUAUCCUUUUCGUCCCCAGAUAACUAUCAGGUUGUCUCACAUUUCUGGUGAAAUGCAUUAACUCUUUAUGAUGGAAAGAUCAGUCUCUGGCAGGGUCUUCAAGAUCCAGAGACCUUCAUGUUUCAUCUCACUAAGGAAAAUGAGAGGCCUCAGAGGCUGCAUUAUGAACCUGGAAAUGAUUCAUGACUCACACUAUUUCCAUUGCAGCUGAAAUCAAAACUAAAAUCAUUUGAAGGGUAUUUUGGAAGGAAAACCAGCAGGGGAUAGGCUGUAUGAGAAUACCAAAACAGUGUUCAUGCUAACUUGGGCAAGUUAUCUUUGUAAGUGUUUGAAAAAUCACUGCCUUAAUUUUACCAAAAACUACUAAAU